CCUACGGGAGGCAGCAGUGGGGAAUAUUGCACAAUGGGCGCAAGCCUGAUGCAGCAACGCCGCGUGAGGGACGACGGCCUUCGGGUUGUAAACCUCUUUUAGUAGGGAAGAAGCGAAAGUGACGGUACCUGCAGAAAAAGCACCGGCUAACUACGUGCCAGCAGCCGCGGUAAUACGUAGGGUGCAAGCGUUAUCCGGAAUUAUUGGGCGUAAAGAGCUCGUAGGCGGUUUGUCGCGUCUGCUGUGAAAACUGGAGGCUCAACCUCCAGCCUGCAGUGGGUACGGGCAGACUAGAGUGCGGUAGGGGAGAUUGGAAUUCCUGGUGUAGCGGUGGAAUGCGCAGAUAUCAGGAGGAACACCGAUGGCGAAGGCAGAUCUCUGGGCCGUAACUGACGCUGAGGAGCGAAAGCAUGGGGAGCGAACAGGAUUAGAUACCCUGGUAGUCCAUGCCGUAAACGUUGGGAACUAGAUGUAGGGACCAUUCCACGGUUUCUGUGUCGCAGCUAACGCAUUAAGUUCCCGCUGGGGNGCGCGCGAGANAACACAANAGAGUAGACGNGNGAGACGNGCGAGACGACGACGAGGGAGGAGG
rnacentral:rRNA from 1 species